AAUCCAUGGUGAGGACACCUUCGCAGUAGGUCCUUUUAUCUCUCCCAUGCAUCUUAAAGAGUUUCUAAGUCCAUCUGUACAAACAAAGAGAUAUCAUUAAGUAAUU
rfam:Gossypium arboreum cultivar AKA8401 contig_35117_5, whole genome shotgun sequence.